rnacentral:rRNA from 1 species
GACGUAGGGUGCAAGCGUUGUCCGGAUUUACUGGGCGUAAAGAGCGCGUAGGCGGUCCGUUAAGUGUUGAAGCUAAAUCUCUUGGCUCACCAAGAACUAUUUCGCAUACUGACGGGCUGGAGUGAUGCAGAGGUGGAUAGAAUUCCGUGGUGAGCGGUGAAAUGCGUUGAUAUCGGGAGGAAUACCCGUGGCGAAGGCGGUCCACUGG